rnacentral:lncRNA from 1 species
GUUGCCAGUUGGAAUUCUGGGUAGCCUGAGUGAGUUGGUUUUUCCAAUUGCCAACAGCUCCUGGAAGGUUUUCCCUUAGGAGGAUGUUGGUGUUUCUGUUCCCUGGAACACUGAAAAAUCCCAGGGGCAGGUGAAGGAGGAGAACAGAAUUAAGUUCAAUGCUUGGCACAUAGGAGACACUCAAUUUUUUUUAUUAAUUGAUUAUUGAUUGACUCACUCCUGGAUUAAGACAUCUGGAAGGAAGAAUUUACAUUCUAAAAUUCGUCAUUUGGGGAGCUCAAGUUCCAAGAGUCAGAACAAUAUGCUACCAAGCUGACAUUUAAAGAGAGAGAAAAG